rnacentral:lncRNA from 1 species
ACUUCUCUUAAAAUCCAAACAUUCUAAGAAAGCAUAAAUAGCAUUCGAAACUCCUUGAUGUUAUAAUCACAUUUCAACAAUCUACCAUAAAAAAUAAAUUAAUCAAUUCUAUCAGAAUCCAAAUAUCUUCUUAGCCAUAAAUAUCUUCACAAACAUUUUUCAUCUACAAAAAAGAAAAAAGAAAAAAAAAGCAAUUGAAAAAGUUAUCUCAACUGCAGAAUUUAGUUUAGAAACUAAAUCAAACAUAAGCACUGGUAAUUUCAAUAAUGUAUUCGUUCUUAAUUAAACAAGAUUGCUUACUACUUGGUAGACUGAUAUAUUAUAUAUAGCAGAGUUGGAUCUUUCCAUUUAACUGAAAUAAAGUCCAUACAACUUUAAAAUAUCUUCACUAAACAUCUUCACUAAGAGGAAAGUUUUAUGAAAAGUACAUGAAGAAGAGGAAUGCUAAACUUCAGGAAGAAUAGAGUUUGAACAGAUCAGAGAAGGAAGCUAGGAUGAAGGCUAUGCAGGAUAUUAUUGAGCGGAGUAGGGCUGAGAUGAAAUCCAAGUUUUCAAGGUACAUAACCAGACAAAAUUCAGCAGAAGGUUCUCAACGCGCAGACACCAGGUGUUCAUUCAUUACUUGCUUUGUAACCCAGUUUUUGUGAUAACUCCUACAUUUUAUUUUAUUCUCCUACAUAACCAAGUUUGUUUUGACAUUUAAAACUUCAAAUCCAUAUUUUCUUUGUCAGACACGUUUGAGAAGUGCAAGUUUAUAAACCCCUUGUUAGUUUUCACUCUAUAGACAGUAUAGACAUUAUAGCCUAACUCAAAUACUAACAACUAAAACAACAAAAUCGCAUAAUGAGGCUAUGGUGGUAACUUGUAAGGAAAUAUUGUACACAAUGAUUCAAGGAAUGAGUGUCAAUUAUAUUCAAGGAAAUAUUGUACACAAUGAUAUAACUUUGCAUAGCUAGUAACAUAAGACCAACUGGCAGAAAACAACACAAAUAGCAAUCAUUAACAUAGUUUAACGCCACCCCUAAACAUACUAGGGUAACAACCUUAAACCAGAAGACUAAAAUACUCCAAACCAAACACUAAUUCCAUUCAAACUGAUAUUGUAUCACAAAAAAAAAAGAACAAGUACCUGAUUAGAUUAUAUCUGAUUAAAAUGCCGCAACUUUCAAAACCUUAAAACCCACCAAGAUCAAAUCAAAUGAAAUCUACAAAAAAAAAAAAAAAAUCAUACAAAUCAAUAAACCCCAAAACCUAACAUUUAGUUCAAUAAACUCAAAUUCAAAAAUCAAACAACACAAUCAGCUAAACCCUAAAAUUAUUCCAACAACAAUAACAACAAAUCAAACAACGUAAUCAGCUUAACCCUAAUAUUAUUUCAACAACAAUAACAACAAAGAAGUUAAAAUUAAAGGGAAUAAGUUCAGAAAACUUACAAGCUUGAAGGUUUGAAGGGUUUGUCGUUUUGAAGGGUUUGGAGAGUGAAUAAUUGGAAUUGCGAUUAUAUUAGUUCGAUUGAAGAAGAACUUGCGCUGGAAUUGGAAUUGCUAUUGGACGGUGGUGGAGGAUUGGGAAUUGGAACGAAGAAGUGUGAAAAAGUGAGGAACGAAGAAGUAAAAAAGUGUGGAUAUGUUUUUACGAUAGAGAAAGGGAUAAGGUAAAGGUGAAAA